rnacentral:rRNA from 1 species
GACGAACCGUGCGAACGUUGUUCGGAAUCACUGGGCUUAAAGGGCGCGUAGGCGGCCAACUAAGUCAGACGUGAAAUCCCUCGGCUUAACCGGGGAACUGCGUCUGAUACUGGAUGGCUUGAGAUUGGGAGAGGGAUGCGGAAUUCCUGGUGUAGCGGUGGAAUGCGCAGAUAUCAGGAGGAACACCGGUGGCGAAGGCGGGUCUCUGGGCAGUAACUGACGCUGAGGAGCGAAAGCGUGGGGAGCGAACAGG